rnacentral:tRNA from 2 species
UGCGGCGUAACUCAAUCGGUAGAGUAACGCAUCAACGUCGUGCUCGGUACGGCAUGAUGUUGACGCCUGACGAGAGUGCUGGUUCGAGUCCAGCAGCCGCAA